UACGUAGGUGGCAAGCGUUGUCCGGAAUUAUUGGGCGUAAAGAGCUCGUAGGCGGUUUGUUGCGUCGGCUGUGAAAUCCCGAGGCUCAACCCUGGGAUGCCGGUGGAUACUGUCGGGCUCGAGUCCGGAAGAGGCGAGUGGAAUUCCUGGUGUAGCGGUGAAAUGCGCAGAUAUCAGGAGGAACACCAGCGGCGAAGGCGGCGCUCUGGGCCGGUACUGACGCUGAGGAGCGAAAGCGUGGGGAUCAAACAGG
rnacentral:rRNA from 1 species